rnacentral:rRNA from 1 species
AUUGAACGCUGGCGGCAGGCCUAACACAUGCAAGUCGAGCGGAUGAAGGGAGCUUGCUCCUGGAUUCAGCGGCGGACGGGUGAGUAAUGCCCAGGAAUCUGCCUGGUAGUGGGGGAUAACGUCCGGAAACGGGCGCUAAUACCGCAUACGUCCUGAGGGAGAAAGUGGGGGAUCUUCGGACCUCACGCUAUCAGAUGAGCCUAGGUCGGAUUAGCUAGUUGGUGGGGUAAAGGCCUACCAAGGCGACGAUCCGUAACUGGUCUGAGAGGAUGAUCAGUCACACUGGAACUGAGACACGGUCCAGACUCCUACGGGAGGCAGCAGUGGGGAAUAUUGGACAAUGGGUGAAAGCCUGAUCCAGCCAUGCCGCGUGUGUGAAGAAGGUCUUCGGAUUGUAAAGCACUUUAAGUUGGGAGGAAGGGCAGUAAGUUAAUACCUUGCUGUUUUGACGUUACCAACAGAAUAAGCACCGGCUAACUUCGUG